rnacentral:lncRNA from 1 species
AAUUUUGUUCAAUUUCUAAGACAGUUGGAAAAGUGUCGUCUGCUCCUGUAUUCUUUGAAAAAUGACGGACAGUUUGUUUGACAGUGACAAAAGACGAAGUUUAAGAUAAGAAGGAAAAUGGAAUCAUGAUAUUCGAAAUUCACCUGAAGGACGACAGAUCUUUGGCAGAAACGGAAGGAACCAAUUGACGGGCAGCUGUUUCGAAAUCUACAGUACCUAACAUUCGAUCUCCUUCGGAUAUCGUAUGACCUGAAAUAAGGGCAGAAUAGAUUUGGAGUUAAGUUGGAUAUUUCUUUCGACGCUUUUAAGCAUGGCGUUGGAACAAAGGGAAUAUAAAUCGGCACCCGUUAAAUAUUUUGGAAGCUGCUGAACGAAAUCUUCAAGAUUUACUAAUGGAUGUAACUGAAUCCUUUGUUUCGAUGAAGUGUUUCAAUUAUUAAAAUAUUUAAAAUUUUCAUAGUGUACUUUGACUUUUUAACGUACUUUCUAGUAAGUGCUUUCAAGACAGACAGCUGGUAUUCCUUUGAAUCGUUUACGCUCAAAAAGAGAAGUUUGUCAAACCUAUAUCAAUACGUUUAAAUUUUGAAACAAAAUUGCUACUAGUUAUUAACUAACCUGCCGGGUCUUAAAAGAGCUGGAUCGAUCAAAUCAGGUCGAUUUGUAGCACCAAUUACGAAGACGACUGCUGAUUUGUUGAUGCCGUCCAAUUCAGCUAACAAUUGCGAAACAACUCUAGACAUUUGAGGACCAUGAAGUUAUAAAAACAAGGGACGACAGUUAAUGUAAUUCACUGAUAAGAUAACUCACCUAUCCAUCACUCCACCUGAGUCUCCACUACGACCACGGUUAGGGGCCAAGGAAUCCAAUUCGUCAAAGAAGAUUAAACAUGGUGAAGCUUGGCGGGCUGCUUGAAAUACGUUGCGAACAUUUUCUUCGCUUUGACCGACGUACAUGUUGAGCAAUUCAGGGCCUUUGACACUUAAAAAGUGCAAAUUGCACUCAGUGGCCACAGCUGUGGUCAUUUUAAGCGGAAAAUCAAGCUAAAAGCAACUUUUGUUGGUUUAAAUGCCAUCGUAUUACCUUUAGCCAGUAAUGUUUUACCCGUUCCAGGAGGUCCGUACAGCAGAACACCUGAUUUAAAAGAAAAAUGUUCCGUUUAGGAUUUCUUAAAAAAACAUUUUAAAUGAUUGUUCAAUAUUACCUGAUCGCUUAAGUCCGUUUUGAAUUAGAUCUGGGAACUUUAGCGGAAGUUGGAUUGUGUCAAGUAAUUCAGUGAUGAUGUGCUGUAAUCCACCAACAUCCUCCCAACGCACUUCGGGAAUAGUUGGAGCGUUCAUGUUUUUGCUCUGCCAAAGGCGAACAAGACCUGUUCACAAGUUAAAGCAAGUAAGUAUUACCUCCAGAGAAUUAGGCAGAUUGAAAUGGAACAACUGAAGCUACCUAUAGCAUGAUCAAUGGAAGACGACGGAAUCACGGUUACGUCAGAGGUGGCAUUAUUAAUGUUCGUAGUAGCAUGCCUGUAUUGAGUUAUCUGUUAAUGGAUGCACGAAAAUUUAUUUGUACGCAAAUUAAGAGACCUUGUAGCAAUUGAGAUGACAGCGUUCAGGUCUCCCAGUCGGAAUCCAUGCAUUCUCCGGGCUAGAUCUUCCAAAGGUGUGCCGACUACCGAAGAACUUUCUUCAAGGAGCCAUCCAAGAGUAGUAAUCCUUUCUUCAUCACUCAGACCAUCGAUGGUUAUAUGAUGCAGUAAUGCCCCGCAGACAUCCGAUGAGCAUUUAUUUCUAUCUCGACAACUUCCAAUGAUGAAAAGUGGAGAUGUAGAAUCCAUCUUCGUCAAAUCCGAUUGAAGUUGGCGGAUUUCAGAGACAAAGAAGCGCAAAAUUCGGAAGUCUGCAACAUUUCCCUCGCGACUUUUACCGACAACCUUAAAAAUCAAGGAAUAGCCGGAGAAACUUGACGCGCGUUUUCAAAAACGCUGCGAAUCCGUAAUUCUGAGGCUUUGCUGGAUUCGCCGAGUAGACUAAGGCAGGACACUUCAACAAACUCAAGACCCAGGAAAUCCGCGACACAUUUAACAAUUAAUCGCUUGCCAGACCCAGACGGCCCUAUCAUUAAAAAUGUUGGAAGUGCUACGGAGGAGCUCCAAUUCGCUAAGAGAUCAGUAGUGCCAAUAUCAACAAAUGGUGCUAAAACCUUUUGCAAAAUAUCACAAUAUUCAGUCAAGCCAGGAGGUCGAUUAGGCAUUAUACAACUUUCGAUUUCUUCAUAAGUUCUUAGGUUCCAUUUUGUUGGGUUUGUCUUUAAUUUUUUUUCAACAGCAAAUUUUAAUGAAGGUACACUAGCUAGUUGAAAUAAAGAAGACUUUUGAUUUUCAA